AUUGAACGCUGGCGGCAUGCCUUACACAUGCAAGUCGAACGGCAGCACGGGAGCAAUCCUGGUGGCGAGUGGCGAACGGGUGAGUAAAGUAUCGGAACGUGCCCAGUCGUGGGGGAUAACGUAGCGAAAGUUACGCUAAUACCGCAUACGAUCUAUGGAUGAAAGCGGGGGAUCGCAAGACCUCGCGCGAUUGGAGCGGCCGAUAUCAGAUUAGGUAGUUGGUGGGGUAAAGGCUCACCAAGCCGACGAUCUGUAGCUGGUCUGAGAGGACGACCGGCCACACUGGGACUGAGACACGGCCCAGACUCCUACGGGAGGCAGCAGUGGGGAAUUUUGGACAAUGGGCGAAAGCCUGAUCCAGCCAUGCCGCGAGCAGGAUGAAGGCCUUCGGGUUGUAAACUGCUUUUGUACGGAACGAAAAGGUUUGGCCUAAUAAGCUGAGCUCAUGACGGUACCGUAAGAAUAAGCACCGGCUAACUACGUGCCAGCCGCCGCCGCGG
rnacentral:rRNA from 1 species